AGUCUGGCUUAUCGAAGACCAUGUUCUUAUGUCUCCAUACAUUUAUGUGGUUCAAAAGGAAGCCAAUAGCAAUUUUUGUCACGACGGUCACUGAAUGUCUUGAUCUUUUUGUGAUACUUCAGUAACACUUACGUGCAAUUACAAUA